UUAUUGUAUUGCUUUAGUCUUUUUGUCCAAUUAGUCAUAAGGUCCUUGCUGUCUCAUUUGGGGGGCAUUUUCGUCCAAUUUAUUUUCAGCUCAAACCCUAGUUGGUCACUAUAUAAGUAGUAAUCAUUGGCAGUCAGAACGGGGACUGUUCACGCGCAUCAGAGAGAAAACACGCGUCAGAGUCAGUCAGAAAUUUCAGCCACCAAUAAAAUAUUCACAAACACCUUUCACUUUUCUCUCUCAUCCAAAUUCGGAUCAAACCACAAAAGAUCAACAAAAAUGAUAUGAACACCUCAAGAACCUCAUGAACAUGAAGAACACUAUGAACACAAAAUUUCCAGCACACUAAAAUCAUCACUGAUUCAGACUAAUAACACAUGAUUUUCGGUUCCCUUCAUAGAUCAACCAUAACAACAGUUUCGAGUUCAAACACAAACUCAUCAAUAGUAACCGUUGUUGAGCUUCACAGAUCAGAAAGCGAAGAAGUUUGAAGCCGAACCGGAAUCGCGAAAUACAAAGAGAGUUUGUAAAUCCAGAUCGUGAAACAAAAACAUCAACAGCGAAGAGGUAGCUUUCUUCGUUUUUUCCUUUCCUUUUGUUUUCAAAAAGUUUUUUUCUCAAGGUUCAAAUUCAGAUCUACUCCGAUUGGAACUCUUUUUAAAAAAUCUAAGCCCGGAUUCG
rnacentral:lncRNA from 1 species